GAUUACUCUAUAGAUGAUCGCAGUAAUACCUGAGAUCUGAUUUAGCCACGCAGUCGCCUGGCCUCUACCGGUAUCCACUCGAGUAGGAUCUGGAUCAUCUUCUCCUCACAAAUCUCUGCUCCAAAACUUAGAUCUAGAUCUGAUCUGGAAGAUCUUCAAAAGAUCUUCUGAAGCUGGAGCAGCAGCUUCUUCAUAAAUCCAUGCAGCCUUCUGAUCAGAAAGCCACCACGCCUUGGACAAGCAUCAGAUGGAUGUCCAACCUCUUGGACGUGA
rnacentral:lncRNA from 1 species